rnacentral:rRNA from 1 species
GAAAACCUAAAGGCGCAAUGAAAGUGUCAGCGGGGGUCGACCCCUUMACCGGUGUGUCGACCCCCCGUAGGGAGGAUGGGCUGCCCGGCGUCUCGGCGCCGGCUCCCCGCACUCCCGGGGCGUCUCGUUCUCAUUGCGAGUGGAGACGCACCAGGAGCGCACACGCUGGUACCCGAAAGAUGGUGAACUAUGCCUGGCCAGGACGAAGCCCGGGGAAACCCUGGUGGAGGUCCGAAGCGAUUCUGACGUGCAAAUCGAUCGUCUGAGCUGGGUAUAGGGGCGAAAGACCAAUCGAACCAUCUAGUAGCUGGUUCCCUCUGAAGUUUCCCUCAGGAUAGCUGGCUCUCGGGAUUAGACGAGUCUCAUCCGGUAGAGCGAAUGAUUAGAGGUGAUGGGGUCGAAACGACUUCAACCUAUUCUCAAACUCCCAAUAGAUGAGAGCCCCGGCUUGCUUGAAAGUGAAGCCGCGGGAUUCGGAUCAGAGAUGCCAAGUGGGCCAAUUUUGGUAAGCAGAACUGGCGCUGUGGGAUGAACCAAACGCAGAGUUAAGGCGCCUGAUUCGACGCUCAUAUGAAACCAUGAAAGGCGUUGGUUGCUUAAGACAGCAGGACGGUGGCCAUGGAAGUCGG